GACAGAGGUGCCGAGCGUUAGGCGGAAUCACUGGGCUUAAAGCGUGUGUAGGCGGAUCGUUAAGUACCUUGUGAAAUCCCACGGCUUAACCAGUGAACUGCUGGGUAUACUGGCGAUCUUGAGCCACCUAGGGGCAACCGGAACAAAUGGUGGAGCGGUGAAAUGCGUAGAUAUCAUUUGGAACGCCAAUGGUGAAAACAGGUUGCUGGGGGUGUGCUGACGCUGAGACACGAAAGCCAGGGGAGCGAACGGG
rnacentral:rRNA from 1 species